AUCAAACAAAUCCGUACAUACCCAUGCUAAAAAAACGAAAAUCAUACUUCAAAAGGAUGCAAUUUUAUCAACUGGGUUAUUGAUAAAAUUCUAAUCGAACUACACAAACCUGGUUAUCAAUACUGCGGACCAGGUACAAAUUUGAAAUAAAGAUUAGACCGCGGUGAUCCGGGUCAUUUUAAAGAAAUUGAAUAAAUACUGCAAAGAUCAUGACGAUGCGUAUGAUCGGAGUAAAAAGUUGGAAGACCGUAGAAGAGCCGAUUAUAUUUUAGAACGUAGAGCGUGGGAACGGUAGAUAGCAAAUGAUUCGUCCACCAACGAAAAAAAUGGUUGUUUGGUGUAUGUUCAAUGUUAUGAAAUUCAAACGGAAAUUCGAAAACGUCUGAGUUUUUAAGACAGGAAUUAAGGAGGUUAAAAACAAAUUUAAGAAAAAUAAAGCUGAUAAAAAGAUACUAAGAAAAAAAUAGAAGCCAAGAAGGUAGAUAGUAGGUCCUUACAAGUUAUAUUGUAAAGAAGACCACAUAUUACAUAAUCAAUAUUAGAACAACUAUUAUAGAUGGGUAUUAGAAAGAUAUGUGUAAAAUACGGAGUUCGCGGGGCCAACGGGUUACGUAAUAAGUAGUCCAGGAUUGGGCGCACAAAAAACAAGUAACAACAAUCUAAAUGCCAAGACGAAUCGCACAAGACCAGUUGAUUAGCAUUUACCAGGUCCGGGUCAACUAUGAGAAACGGGGUAUAUAAAAUAGUCUAAGAGACUAAUAUUCAGAUGUGUUUUAGUCCGACUUGGUAACUGUAAGGUAUUACAGUCCAACGUAGUAAGCACUUUCACGCAAGUCUAUUCGUCAAAUUAAAUAAUACAAUACACAACACAAUUUGGCGCAGUCAGUAGGAUUUUUCUAAAGGAGGCAGUCAAUUCAUUGUUGACUAUCGUCGAAGAAGAAAAAGUACACGAAUUUCAACUUCGGCAACUCUGGAAGAAUAACCAGUGUUUGUAAUCAACCAACAGCUCAAUAUGUGACAAGGAACAUCCAAUACCGCUUUAGUAUAAGCAUAUAUUAUAAUUGUAUUAAGUUAAUAUAAGUACAACAUCUAUAUCAUUAAUGUAUGAUUAUCACUACAACACAAAGAAAAAACAUUUUGAAAAUAAUCUCAGACUGAUGUACAUAGAUACAGAUUCUCUUAUAUAUCAUAUUAUAACCGACAACUUUUACGAUGACUUGUUAAACAAGCUAGGUUUAUUAGAGUCCAUGGAUACCUACAAUCUACUCCAUGAACAUCCAUGUUAUACGUCAUCACGUAAGGAAAUAACGAGUUUCUUUUCCGACAAGACAGAUGGACACACUAUGACCGAAUUUAUAACCCUAUGAACAAAAUCGUACGCAUAUAAUUUGAAUAACAAAGAAUAAAAUCAAAGCAAAAAGCAUUCGAGGUCAUGUGGUGAAAAAAUCAUAUGACAUUCAAAGAUCAUGUAGAUUUUUACCAUGUAAAUUUUUACCAACGAUAAGGAAGAAGUCAAAUUUGAUCCUUAUAAAGAAAAUGUCUCUAUCAGAUCAUGCUACCAUGAGUUACAAACGAUAAAAUCCAAUAAAUUAUGUUUCAACAGACAAGAUGACAAGCGUAUAAUACAACUCGAUAGAAUUACAUACGUUCACAAACACUAUCGUAUACAGCUGGCUGAAACCGAAGUUAA